AUCUAAAUCAGGAAAAUGUAUUCUCACGUCGGGAGCAGCCCCCGCAGUCUGCACUGAAUGGGGCUCCCACCUCUGACAAAGCAAUCGGCUUCUUCACGGUUGGCAGACAAGCAGCAGUGCCGGUGAGACCUGAGCAGCGUGGAGAGCAGCGUCUGUGGGCGUCAGCCCAUCACUUUGACCAUGCCUGCACCCCACAAUCAGCACAGGCCCUCAGUCAUCCAGUCUUCCUGGUGCAGAAUCCCUGUGAAAACCAGCUGAAACCAGAUACAGCCUGUGUAUACCUGAGCGACUGAACAAAGGCAUCUACUUAAGUUUAUGACCCGACGCACAAUGCAUACAGUGUGGCCUUGGAGAAUGCCUACCCUCUCAGUGUGUAACACCUCUUUCUUUGGAAACUCUUAAGCAAAUGUUCUCAGGCCACAGGCCCUUCUCCCGUAGAGCCUCCGACUGGAGAACUGACGUCUGGACCCCAGGACCAUGCCCAUUACCACCAGCCCACCACCAGGACACUGGCAGUCCCUGCGGAGAUAACCUUGGGUCUUCAUCUAGGGCAGUGGUUCUCAGCCUUACCAAUACUUUGACCCUUUAACACAUGUGGUAGUGACCCCCCAACCAUAAAAUUAUUUUCGUUGCUACUUCAUAACUGUAAUUUUGCUAC